rnacentral:rRNA from 1 species
CCUACGGGAGGCAGCAGUGAGGAAUAUUGGUCAAUGGACGAGAGUCUGAACCAGCCAAGUAGCGUGAAGGAUGACUGCCCUAUGGGUUGUAAACUUCUUUUAUAUGGGAAUAAAAUGUUCCACGUGUGGGAUUUUGUAUGUACCAUAUGAAUAAGGAUCGGCUAACUCCGUGCCAGCAGCCGCGGUAAUACGGAGGAUCCGAGCGUUAUCCGGAUGUAUUGGGUUUAAAGGGAGCGUAGGUGGAGUGUUAAGUCAGUUGUGAAAGUUUGCGGCUCAACCGUAAAAUUGCAGUUGAAACUGGCAGUCUUGAGUACAGUAGAGGUGGGCGGAAUUCGUGGUGUAGCGGUGAAAUGCUUAGAUAUCACGAAGAACUCCGAUUGCGAAGGCAGCUCACUGGACUGUAACUGACACUGAGGCUCGAAAGUGUGGGUAUCAAACAGGAUUAGAUACCCGAGUAGUC